AUGGUCAAGCUAAGAAGAGCGCAAGGGGAAUGCCUUGGCACUGAGAGCCGAAGAAGGACGCGACUAACUGCGAUAAGCCACGGGGAGCCGUAAGUAGGCAUUGAUCCGUGGAUUUCCGAAUGGAGCAAUCCGGCUGGAGUCAUGUCCAGUCACCGUAUUCUGAAUCCAUAGGGAUACGGGGGGAACCGCCUGAACUGAAACAUCUAAGUAGGGCGAGGAAAAGAAAUCAACCGAGAUUCCGCUAGUAGUGGCGAGCGAACGCGGAAGAGGCCAAACCAGAGGUAGCAAUACCUUUGGGGUUCGGACAGCGCACGGUAUGGAAGGUAUCUAGCAGAAUGGCAUGGGAAGGCCAACGAGACAGGGUGAGAGUCCCGUAUGCGAAAGAGAAGAUCCGCCAGCUGAAUCCAGAGUACCGCCGGACACGUGAAACCCGGUGGGAAGACGGGGGGACCAUCCUCCAAGCCUAAAUACUACUCAGUGACCGAUAGUGAAGAGUACUGUGAAGGAAAGGUGAAAAGCACCCCGGGAGGGGAGUGAAAGAGAACCUGAAACCUUGUGCUUACAAGCACCGAGAGCCCGUCAACGGGUGAUCGGGUACCUUUUGUAGAAUGGUCCGGCGAGUGAAUGUAACUGGCAAGGUUAAGGACUUAAGGUCUGAAGCCGCAGCGAGAGCAAGUCUUAAUAGGGCGUAAGAAGUCAGUUGUAUUCGACCCGAAACCGGGUGACCUACCCAUGUCCAGGUUGAAGUGGAGGUAAAACUCCAUGGAGGACCGAACCGACUCCCGUUGAAAUGGUAGCGGAUGAGGUGUGGGUAGCGGAGAAAUUCCAAUCGAACCCGGAGAUAGCUGGUUCUCUCCGAAAUAGCUUUAGGGCUAGCCUCAUAUUAGAUUACUGGAGGUAAAGCACUGAAUGGGCUAGGGGCCGAGAGGUUACUGAACCCUAUCAAACUCAGAAUGCCAGAUAAUUGAUGUAUGGGAGUCAGACAGUGUGAGAUAAGUUUCAUUGUCAAAAGGGAAACAGCCCAGACCCACAGCUAAGGUCCCAAAGUAUGGUUAAGUGGAAAAGGAUGUGGGGUUGCUUAGACAACCAGGAUGUUGGCUUAGAAGCAGCCACUCAUUAAAAGAGUGCGUAAUAGCUCACUGGUCGAGUGACCCUGCGCCGAAAAUUUAACGGGGCUAAAUCAUACACCGAAGCUUGGGAUUGACAGAUAUUCUUCAUGUUUUCAGGCAGGAUAGGAAAGAGAGAAAAUCUGAUGACGCCGAAGAAUGAGGCGGCAUUAAAUUUCUGUUCAAGUAAAAGCAUGAAGAUGUGAAGAAUAUCUGUCGAUGGUAGGAGAGCGUUCUAUGUGGGGAGAAGUCUGAGCGGAAGCGCAGGUGGACUGCAUAGAAGUGAGAAUGCCGGAAUGAGUAGCGCGAAAUAUGUGAGAAUCAUAUUGGCCGAAAGUCUAAGGUUUUUGGAGGAAGGUUCGUCCGCUCCAAGUAAGUCGGGAGCUAAGGCGAGGCCGAAAGGCGUAGUCGAUGCACAUACGGUAGAUAUUCCGUAACCGCCGAAGGAUUAAAGCAAAGGGACACCUGCGAAGCGUGUAACCCGGGCGAUGGUUGCCCCGGGCGUAAGGGACCGAAAUUUAGUAGGGAAGUACAUGUAGAGCAGGGCGAGAAAAGCUUUGUGUAUAUCCAAGGCGCCCGUACCGCAAACCGACACAGGUAGAUAGGAAGAGAAUUCUAAGGCCAACGGGAGAAGGGUAGUUAAGGAACUCGGCAAAUUGGUCCCGUAACUUAGGGAAAAGGGACGCUCCAGAGAUGGAGCCGCAGUGAAUAGGCCCAGGCGACUGUUUAGCAAAAACACAGGUCUCUGCCAAAUCGAAAGAUGAAGUAUAGGGGCUGACACCUGCCCGGUGCUGGAAGGUUAAGAGGAGAUGUGCAAGCAUUGAAUUGAAGCCCCAGUAAACGGCGGCCGUAACUAUAACGGUCCUAAGGUAGCGAAAUUCCUUGUCGGGUAAGUUCCGACCCGCACGAAUGGUGUAACGAUCUGGGCACUGUCUCAACUACCCGCCCGGCGAAAUUGUAGUACCGGUGAAGAUGCCGGUUACCCGCGACAAGACGGAAAGACCCCAUGGAGCUUUACUGUAGCUUGAUAUUGGGUUUCGGUAAUUUAUGUACAGGAUAGGCGGGAGACUAGGAAGCCAGUACGCCAGUAUUGGUGGAGUCGUCCUUGGGAUACCGCUCUUAAGUUGCUGGAAUUCUAACCUGCGGCCGUGAAUCCGGCCGGGGGACAUUGUCAGGUGGGCAGUUUGACUGGGGCGGUCGCCUCCAAAAGAGUAACGGAGGCGCUCAAAGGUUCGCUCAGCACGGACGGAAACCGUGCUUUUGAGUGUAAACGCAGAAGCGAGCCUGACUGCGAGGGUGACGGCCCGAGCAGAAACGAAAGUUGGAGUUAGUGAUCCGGCGGUAUGUGAAUGGAAAUGCCGUCGCUCAACGGAUAAAAGCUACCCUGGGGAUAACAGGCUGAUCUCCCCCAAGAGUCCACAUCGACGGGGAGGUUUGGCACCUCGAUGUCGGCUCAUCACAUCCUGGGGCUGUAUUCGGUCCCAAGGGUUCGGCUGUUCGCCGAUUAAAGUGGUACGCGAGCUGGGUUCAGAACGUCGUGAGACAGUUCGGUCCCUAUCUGUCGUGGGCGCAGGAUAUUUGAGGAGCUCUGUCCUUAGUACGAGAGGACCGGGAUGGACGCACCGCUGGUGCACCAGUUGUCACGCCAGUGGCACAGCUGGGCAGCUAAGUGCGGAUCGGAUAAACGCUGAAAGCAUCUAAGCGUGAAGCCGGCUCCAAGAUAAGAUAUCCCAUUCCGUAAGGAAGUAAGACCCCUUGAAGACUACAAGGUUGAUAGGCUGCGUGUGUAAGCGCCGCGAGGCGUUCAGCUUGGCAGUACUAAUAGGUCGAGGGCUUGACCUUA
rnacentral:rRNA from 1 species